rnacentral:tRNA from 1 species
GGUCUCGUGGCCCAGUUGGUUAAGGCAUCGUGCUAAUAACGCGAGGAUCGGCGGUUCGAUCCCGUCCGAGACCA